UACGGGGGGGGCAAGCGUUGUUCGGAAUUACUGGGCGUAAAGGGCUCGUAGGCGGCCAACUAAGUCAGUCGUGAAAUCCCUAGGCUCAACCUAGGAACUGCGUCUGAUACUGGAUGGCUUGAAUCCGGGAGAGGGAUGCAGAAUUCCAGGUGUAGCGGUGAAAUGCGUAGAUAUCUGGAGGAAUACCGGUGGCGAAGGCGGCAUCCUGGACCGGCAUUGACGCUGAGGAGCGAAAGCCAGGGGAGCAAACGGG
rnacentral:rRNA from 1 species